CCAGUGUUGCUGCCAGUUAUAGAGGAGAAUCGCUCGUAUCUCCCGUUUGUAAUUGUCCGUGAAUUGACCGUUCAAUAGUAAUGGUUUGUGCAGAAAUGGAUGCACUUCUGGCGGUCGGGAUAUGAAGUAAUGUGCUGCCAAUUGCUGAAUACGAUAUUUGAGAGGCAUAGUACCCGCUAAUACUUGCACUGCUUCAUGUGAUAUCGUCCGCCUGUUUAUGCCAUACUGCUGACCCAUAAGUUAUGGCGGGCUCAAUAGCAGCGUUCCAGUAGAGGCGCAGGGUUUUUUGUGGAGGCCCAAAGUUAUUGCCUGAUAUUCGUGAGAAGCCGAAGAUUGCCUUCUUGGCUUUGUUGGUGACAUGCGUAAUAUGCUCGUAAAAAUGAAGAUAUCGGUCGAUUAUGAUUCCAAGAUAUUUUAUGCUAUCGGAAUAUUGUAAUGGAUGAUUAUUGAAGCGAAUGACGGGUCGGACUGCCAGUUCCGAACCACGGCCAAUCAUCAUUGUCUGCGUUUUUGAUGCAUUAAAAGCAACCUCAGGGCUAGCACCACAAGCGAUAACGAGUGUAUCAUCCGCAUAUGCUUGUAAGAAGACGUG